UACGUAGGGGGCAAGCGUUGUCCGGAAUCAUUGGGCGUAAAGAGCGUGUAGGCGGCCCGAUAAGUCCGCCGUGAAAGUCCAGGGCUCAACCCUGGAAUGCCGGUGGAAACUGUCGGGCUGGAGUCCGGAAGAGGCGAGUGGAAUUCCUGGUGUAGCGGUGAAAUGCGCAGAUAUCAGGAGGAACACCAAUAGCGAAGGCAGCUCGCUGGGACGGUAUUGACGCUAAGGCGCGAAAGCGUGGGGAGCAAACAGG
rnacentral:rRNA from 1 species